UAUAGGCCCAACAGUAUGAAAACUUAAUAAGUUUUAAUUAAUUAUAAUUAUUAAAUUUGAUAAAAAAUAAAAGAAUCAUUUAAAUUUUUAAAGUUUGAUUUACAUAUUGUAAGGACUGAAAUUUUGGCAGUACAAUUAGACUCUCUGUUGACGAUGUUCCUGUGUGCAAUUUAAUUACAUAAACACUCGUCAAGUUUCAGGAGAAAAUGAGCUAAAAUGGAGAAGAUACGCGAUUUUUAGUUUUCACUUAAGUGAAUAGUAACUCUGAUUUUUCGGAAAAGUUAAUAAGAAAAUACGGCUUCUGGCGCGUAUCGCACUCCGUUCAUAGCAAUCCAAUAGCUCGUUUCGACCGGUUCAGUUAUUCUGGAACUAAUGGCGCUGACGGAUUUUGAGUUUGACGCAUGGAUUUUGAGAAAAUCAGAAAAUACAUGUUUUAUAUGUAAUUGUGCGUCGUAUUUGGCCUUUUGGAGAGAGAGCGGAUUUCGUCGCGAAUCCGUGACUAUUUGAGGCGAAACGA
rnacentral:lncRNA from 1 species